UCGGACUGCAGUCUGCAACUCGACUGCACGAAGCUGGAAUCGCUAGUAAUCGCAGAUCAGAAUGCUGCGGUGAAUACGUUCCCGGGUCUUGUACACACCGCCCGUCACACCAUGGGAGUCAGUAACGCCCGAAGUCAGUGACCUAACCGCAAGGGAGGAGCUGCCGAAGGCGGGACCGAUAACUGGGGUGAAGUCGUAACAAGGUAGC
rnacentral:rRNA from 1 species